rnacentral:rRNA from 1 species
AGUGGACGCUGGCGGUAGGCCUAACACAUGCCAGUCGAACGGCAGCACAGUAAGAGCUUGCUCUUACGGGUGGCGAGUGGCGGACGGGUGAGGAAUACAUCGGAAUCUACUUUUUCGUGGGGGAUAACGUAGGGAAACUUACGCUAAUACCGCAUACGACCUACGGGUGAAAGCAGGGGAUCUUCGGACCUUGCGCGAUUGAAUGAGCCGAUGUCGGAUUAGCCAGUUGGCGGGGUAAAGGCCCACCAAGGCGACGAUCCGUAGCUGGUCUGAGAGGAUGAUCAGCCACACUGGAACUGAGACACGGUCCAGACUCCUACGGGAGGCAGCAGUGGGGAAUAUUGGACAAUGGGCGCAAGCCUGAUCCAGCCAUACCGCGUGGGUGAAGAAGGCCUUCGGGUUGUAAAGCCCUUUUGUUGGGAAAGAAAAGCAGCAGGUUAAUACCCCGCUGUUCUGACGGUACCCAAAGAAUAAGCACCGGCUAACUUCGUG